ACACGGCCCAAACUCCUACGGGAGGCAGCAGUAGGGAAUUUUCGGCAAUGGAGGAAACUCUGACCGAGCAACGCCGCGUGAACGAUGAAGUAUUUCGGUAUGUAAAGUUCUUUUAUUGAAGAAGAAAAAAUAGUGGAAAAACUAUCUUGACGUUAUUCAAUGAAUAAGCCCCGGCUAACUAUGUGCCAGCAGCCGCGGUAAGACAUAGGGGGCGAGCGUUAUCCGGAAUUAUUGGGCGUAAAGGGUGCGUAGGCGGUUAGGAAAGUCUAUAAUUUAAUUUCAGUGCUUAACGCUGUCUUGUUAUAGAAACUACCUUGACUAGAGUUAGAUAGAGGCAAGCGGAAUUCCAUGUGUAGCGGUAAAAUGUGUAAAUAUAUGGAGGAACACCAGAAGCGUAGGCGGCUUGCUGGGUCUUGACUGACGCUGAGGCACGAAAGCGUGGGUAGCAAACAGGAUUAGAUACCCUGGUAGUCCACGCCGUAAACGAUGAGUACUAAGUGUCGGGAUAAAACUCGGUACUGAAGUUAACACAUUAAGUACUCCGCCUGAGUAGUACGUACGCAAGUAUGAAACUUAAAGGAAUUGACGGGACUCCGCACAAGCGGUGGAUCAUGUUGUUUAAUUCGAAGAUACACGAAAAAUCUUACCAGGUCUUGACAUGCUCUGCAAAGCUAUAGAAAUAUAGUGGAGGUUAUCAGGGACACAGGUGGUGCAUGGUUGUCGUCAGUUCGUGUCGUGAGAUGUUAGGUUAAGUCCUAAAACGAGCGCAACCCUUGUCGUUAGUUACCAGCACGUAAUGGUGGGCACUUUAACGAGACUGCCAAUUAAACAUUGGAGGAAGGUGAGGAUUACGUCAAAUCAUCAUGCCCCUUAUGAUCUGGGCUACAAACGUGAUACAAUGGCUGUUACAAAGAGUAGCUGAAGCGCGAGUUUUUAGCCAAUCUCAAAAAAGCAGUCUCAGUUCGGAUUGAAGUCUGUAACUCGACUUCAUGAAGUUGGAAUCGCUAGUAAUCGCGAAUCAGCAUGUCCCGGUGAAUACG
rnacentral:rRNA from 1 species